UACGUAGGGUGCAAGCGUUGUCCGGAAUUAUUGGGCGUAAAGAGCUCGUAGGCGGUUUUGUUGCGUCGGCUGUGAAAUCCCGAGGCUCAACCUCGGGUCUGCAGUCGAUACGAGCAAAACUAGAGUGUUGCAGGGGGAGACUGGAAUUCCUGGUGUAGCGGUGAAAAUGCGCAGAUAUCAGGAGGAACACCGGUGGCGAAGGGCGGCGAUCUGGGGUCGAUACUGACGCUGAGGUGCGAAAAGCGUGGGGGGAGCAAACAGG
rnacentral:rRNA from 1 species